AAUCAACGCUGGCGGCGUGCCUCAGACAUGCAAGUCGAACGUGAAAGUUUCCUUCGGGAAAUGAGUAAAGUGGCGCACGGGUGAGUAACACGUAGGUAAUCUACCUUUGGGUGGGGAAUAACAGCCGGAAACGGCUGCUAAUACCGCAUAAUGCAGCGGCAUUUUAUUAUGACAGUUGUUAAAGCGGGGGAUCGUAAGACCUCGCGCCUAAAGAGGAGCCUGCGGCGGAUUAGCUAGUUGGAAGGUAAUGGCUUACCAAGGCGACGAUCUGUAGCCGGCCUGAGAGGGGCGGUCGGCCACACUGACACUGAAUAACGGGUCAGACUCCUACGGGAGGCAGCGAGGU
rnacentral:rRNA from 1 species